UACGUAGGUGGCAAGCGUUGUUCGGAAUUAUUGGGCGUAAAGGGCGCGUAGGCGGUUUGUUAAGUCGGCUGUGAAAGCCCGGGGCUCAACCCCGGAGGGUCGGCCGAUACUGGCGAACUAGAGUACGGAAGAGGUAGCUGGAAUUCCCGGUGUAGCGGUGAAAAGCGUAGAUAUCGGGAGGAACACCUGAGGCGAAGGCGGGCUACUGGGCCGAUACUGACGCUGAUGCGCGAAAGCGUGGGGAGCAAACAGG
rnacentral:rRNA from 1 species